rnacentral:rRNA from 1 species
CUUCUCUGGCUUUGAAAGCUAAGCAGGGUUAGGCCUCGUUAGUACUUGGAGGGGAGACCUCAAGGGAAUACCAGGUC